rnacentral:rRNA from 1 species
UGGGGAAUAUUGGGCAAUGGGCGCAAGCCUGACCCAGCAACGCCGCGUGAAGGAAGAAGGCUUUCGGGUUGUAAACUUCUUUUAAGAGGGAAGAGCAGAAGACGGUACCCUCAUUAGAUCAAGCCACGCUAACUACGUGCCAGCAGCCGCGGUAAUACGUAGGUGGCAAGCGUUGUCCGGAUUUACUGGGUGUAAAGGGCGUGCAGCCGGGAAGACAAGUCAGAUGUGAAAUCCCGCGGCUCAACCGCGGAACUGCAUUUGAAACUGUUUUCUUGAGUACCGGAGAGGUCAUCGGAAUUCCUUGUGUAGCGGUGAAAUGCGUAGAUAUAAGGAAGAACACCAGUGGCGAAGGCGGAUGACUGGACGGCAACUGACGUUGAGGCUCGAAAGCGUGGGGAGCAAACAGGAUUAGAUACCC